rnacentral:tmRNA from 2 species
GGCGUUUGCAUGUGCCCGCGCACGCCCUAUAUCGGUCGGUGCCGGCUUCGGCCGGCUAUGGCGAUAAAUCGCGGCGUAGAAUAGAUGCAGCGGACCCGGGGGCGGUACCCGGCGGCUCCACCAUUCGGGCCGGUCGACCAUGGCUUUCAGCCAUGGGUCGGGCGACCGGAAUGACGGGGCCGAACUAGGAUCGACGUGUAUUGAAAGGCGCCGUUUUCGCUCGGAAUGGGACCACCGCAACGGCCCAUUACACAAGUGCCAACGAUAACGAAGCACUCGCGAUUGCGGCGUAACUGAGGGCCUCACGGCCUGACGUUACACCAAAAUAGCGCGGUCGGACCCCACCGGGCAACAGAAGGGGAUUCCA